rnacentral:rRNA from 1 species
UAACAGGAAGCAGCUUGGCUGCUUUGCUGACGAGUGGCGGACGGGUGAGUAAUGUCUGGGAAACUGCCUGAUGGAGGGGGAUAACUACUGGAAACGGUGGCUAAUACCGCAUAACGUCGCAAGACCAAAGAGGGGGACCUUCGGGCCUCUUGCCAUCAGAUGUGCCCAGAUGGGAUUAGCUUGUUGGUGAGGUAACGGCUCACCAAGGCGACGAUCCCUAGCUGGUCUGAGAGGAUGACCAGCCACACUGGAACUGAGACACGGUCCAGACUCCUACGGGAGGCAGCAGUGGGGAAUAUUGCACAAUGGGCG